GUUUUAUAUUUUCACCCGUCAUUGGGCUUACAUUCCCAGCUAGCAUACCAUAGAGCUCAAAUGCCAUAUGAUGAUAGAUAUAGCAAAGGCACUCGGGCAUGAACCGUAGGUUCGCAGCUUCACCCCAUAUAAGAAGGUAGAGACCCAUAUACAGUAGCUUCCGUUGCUGCACUUCCUGCUGAAUGGUUGGCAGCCAUAGACUACUUU
rnacentral:misc_RNA from 1 species